UUUAAGUAACUGGAGUGCCCGUACGCCGGGCUGAGAUGUACGCAAACGUACGGAUCCAUUGAACCUGGGAGUUAAGACUCGCGAAGGGACGUUACCAAGCCGAUCAA
rnacentral:ncRNA from 2 species